rnacentral:rRNA from 1 species
CCUACGGGAGGCAGCAGUGGGGAAUAUUGCACAAUGGGGGAAACCCUGAUGCAGCGACGCCGCGUGAGUGAAGAAGUAUUUCGGUACGUAAAGCUCUAUCAGCAGGGAAGAAAAUGACGGUACCUGACUAAGAAGCCCCGGCUAACUACGUGCCAGCAGCCGCGGUAAUACGUAGGGGGCAAGCGUUAUCCGGAUUUACUGGGGUUAAAGGGAGCGUAGACGGCAGCGCAAGUCUGGAGUGAAAUCCCAUGGCUUAACCAUGGAACUGCUUUGGAAACUGUGCAGCUAGAGUGCAGGAGAGGUAAGCGGAAGUCCUAGUGUAGCGGUGAAAUGCGUAGAUAUUAGGAGGAACACCAGUGGCGAAGGCGGCUUACUGGACUGUAACUGACGUUGAGGCUCGAAAGCGUGGGGAGCAAACAGGAUUAGAUACCCUGGUAGUC